UGCCUUUAAGAGACGGUUGGGGCUUGAGGUGGAGGAGGGGCAUUUGGCAGGGAAUAAGGUGAAUGGGAAAUUAAUAACAGGUUUAAAUAAUUGCCCGUCUGUCACCCCCACAGGGUGUCCCUUUCACUCCAGAUGUUGCUCAGCAAGACCCAGGGAGGAAGAGAAGUGCAGGAAGCAGACAAAGAGCUCAGUAGCAAAGACAAAGGCCAAACUCCAGAUUCCAGGGCUGGAAAGGCCACAGGACGGACGGGCGGGACAGGGCACACGCUCCUCCAAGGACUGAUUUCUCCCCACACUUGCCAAGGGCAGCUUCCUCAUGCAGCUGGCUGCGUAAGCCCAGCCCCAACCUCCCUGGCACAACCUCAGCGAAUCCAGCAUGAAGGCCCCCGGCAAGCCAGGCUCCGUGAAAUCCAUCCUGACUACAGGACUUCCGGCUGCAGAGCCACAGAACCAAAGCUGGGGUCAGGGGACAGAGGGAGGCAACGUCAAAACACAAAAGGACCAAGCAGGAUAAGAGGCAGGAAGUCGUCCACUGCUUGUGCCGUAGAGGAGGAGAGCUGGGGGCCCAGCCCCGGGUCCCAAGCCCACUGGGUGGACGUGGAUGCGGCCACGGACGAGGCCGAGGCCCUGUUCAGGGAGGAGUAGGCGGGCACGGAGGAGCUCUUGGAGGACGGCGAGGAGGUGAAGAGAGGCAGCGGCGGCGGCGGGGUGCUGAGGCUGCCCAGCACGCUGAGGACGCCAUUGAGCUCGCUGCUGAUCCGCUGCAGGGAGCUGCUCAGCAGGUCGUGGCCUUUCUGCAUGGCUGAAUUCAUCUCAUCCAAGUGCCUGGUCUCCUGCAGCCAGGAAGGAAGGGGAGGAGAAGUGAUCAACCCCACAGAUGCUGGAGCUCUGGUUGCACCAUGUCCUGGCUGGGUGGUCUUGAACAAAUUACUUCUCGGUGUGGUUUGAGAAAAAGAAAUACUGCCUCCAUCAAGUGGACAGAAUGAAGGGAGAUACAGUAUGUGAUAUGCUGAAAAACACAAGGCCCACAUCUAGUAAAUUCUCAAAUGGUUACUGCUGUUGUCAUCACUGAUUUUUUUCAGUACCAGGAAAAGAACUCACAACCUUGCACUUGCCAGGCAAGCACUGGCACUGAGCAGAAUCCCUGGCCCACGCUCCAGGUAUUCAUCCCCACCAUUCUGCAUCGGGAGUUAGGCGGGCAGUAACAGGCCCUGGAGGAAGCAGGUACACACCCCCAGGAAGCCUGUCCCUGUCGUUCCAGCCCCUGGCCCUCUGCUGCCCCUGUGCCUGGCACAGGCACUGCAGGGCGAGGCG